rnacentral:rRNA from 1 species
UACGUAGGGCGCAAGCGUUAUUCGGAAUUACUGGGCGUAAAGCGCACGUAGGCGGCUUUGUAAGUUAGAGGUGAAAGCCCGGGGCUCAACUCCGGAAUUGCCUUUAAGACUGCAUCGCUAGAAUUGUGGAGAGGUAAGUGGAAUUCCGAGUGUAGAGGUGAAAUUCGUAGAUAUUCGGAAGAACACCAGUGGCGAAGGCGACUUACUGGACACAUAUUGACGCUGAGGUGCGAAAGCGUGGGGAGCAAACAGG